rnacentral:lncRNA from 1 species
AUGGGGCCCGGGCCGGCUCUCCUGCUCCUGGGCCUGGGCCUGGGCCUGGGCUGUGGGCCCGGCCGCUGGCCUCCGCCCCCGGCUCCCGCGCAGGCGCCCGGCUCGCCGGCCCGAGGCCUCCCCGUCCCGACGCCCGCCUCGGCCGGGCCUGCCCCGUCCGACACCCGGGCCCUCGUCCAGGCGCGGCGCCCGGAGGCCGCGCUCCGCUCGGUCACGGCCCCCCGGGCCCCCGGGGAGCGGGGCGCAGGCUUUGGCGGCCUUGGAGCCGGCCGCGCCCGCGUCAGCCUCCGGGCCCGCGCGGCCCCGGGCGGCGGCAUCUUCCUGAGCGGCCGCCGCGGCCUCUGCCUGCCGGCCGGGCGGCCCCCGAGCCUCGCGCCGCGCUGCCUCCGCGCGCACGUCCAGGUGCGCGCCCGCCGCGCCGCCGCUAACGCCGCGCCCGCGCCCGCGCCCGCGCCGGUGGACCUGCAGCUGUCCGCGCCCGGCGGCCGGCUCUCCCUGCGCUGGCUGUCCCGCCUGCCGCGCUCGCUCGGGCCUCUGGAGUGGACCUUCCGCCUCGGGCUGCUCGGGCCCGCGGCCGCCCAGAGCCGCGCGUUGCCCCGACGGGCUCUGCCCCGCGGCCGGCGCUCCUACCCGGGAUUCGUGGCGCGAACCGAGUGUCCCACGGACGGGCCCACCCCGGUCUUCUUAGAAGCUGUCGGCCCGAACAGCUCAGAACCCACUGAGUCCUCCGUGUCCUGUCAGGUAGCCAAAAACGAGACUUGUAAAUUGGACCGCGUGCGGAUAAAUAGGAACGACGAUAAACCGGUGCGACUGACCAGGGACAUGGGAGACACCUUCAAUGUAACAAUCAUCCUCUUCUGUCCAGUCCCAGAGUACUAUCUGCGGAGGUGGUAUAUCUAUCCUGUGCCUUAUGUAGGGGCCGUGCCUGACUGGACUAAACCUAUCCGAAAGCCACCGGUCACAGCACGUAGAGGUACAACAGUGUUGACUAUACUCCCAUAUUCUUUCACUUGGGGGGUGUAUCUGUUUAAUUUCUCGGUGGUUGUCACAACGCGGGAACCUGGGAUUCCAAGGCAGACGGACUCAGACAGAAUCUAUGUCGUCAUUUUUAGACGUCCCCUGAAUGCUGUUAUUUCAGGGCCUUCCAACAUCACAAUCAAUUUCACAGAUGGGGUGACUCUCAAUGGAAAUAAGUCUUCUGAUCCAGAGGAAACAGACCCUCUAGAGAAAGAGAGGCUUAAGUUUCUCUGGUACUGUACCACGAACCCAAAAGACUAUGAUGGACAGAAAAUAACAGUGAUAAGCAAGGAAGUGUGUCUCCCGGAGCAGGUUGACCUCAAGUGGACAUGGGCCUCUGGUCCUAUUCUCACCCUUUCUCCAGAAACACUUCAAGGUGGCCGUGUAUAUUUUUUCAGACUGGUGAUCCAGAAGACCGGCAGGUCAGCAUUUGCUGAUGCAACGCUGCGCGUGCUUCAAGGAGAGCCGGUAGCAAGCAUCUCAUGUAUUGAAAAUUGUGACCAGGUUCUGGUUUUAUCAGAGAGAUUCUCGUUGUCUCUGGAUUGCACAGGUUGUACAGCAGGCCGAGAUGUCUAUCGGUGGUCCAUUCUGACGUCUUCAGGUCAGGAGGUGCCAUUUGACUGGACGGGGCAAACUUCAACAGGACGGCAUGGUGCUUAUGUGUCUAUAAAAGCUUUUGCUUUCUGGAGUUUCAAGGAAGAUAAGUUUUGGAUUUCUCUAAAUGCAGCAACUUGGAGUGGAGUCACAUUGGUCUUAAGGUAUCCUUUCAUUAUUCGCCAUGUCCUUAUAACCACAGACUGCAAAAUUGUUCCAGAAAAAGGAAUUUCCUUCAUUACUCAGUUUGUUGUUAUUUGUACUCAUUUCAAGCAUAAGAACAUUGUUCUUACAUAUAAAAUAAUAGUUCCUGAUGUACAUGGUUUUGGUGAAAUCAGUUCUUUGAAAGAGAAUAACUUUGGAUCCAUCAUGUAUUUGGGGAAGAAUUCCACAUCGCCCCUUUCCUUUCUCCCUGUUGGUGUGUUGGACAGUCAUUAUGCCUUGAAAAUAAUUGCCCAGGCAUAUAAUACCUCUCUGGGAGCUUUUUCCCAGGUGAACUUGUAUGCCACUGUGCGGCCUCCCACUGACGUAAAGUCAUCAACAACUGUGCUGGAGGAGUUAUCCAACUUCACCACGGGACCAAAUUCCUCCCUGUCCACUUUGCUUCAACAGCAGGAUUUUCUAAAUGCAAGUUAUUUAAUAUACGUAGUAGCUUCUGUCAUGAACAGCAUGAAAACUGACACAAGUCUUCAAGCUGACAAAAUUAAACUCCGAGAACACCUUUUCAAUCAGACACUCAUUCUUCCUAUAAACACUUUGGUGAAUAUUAGCCAGGUGGUCAUGACUAUUACUAAAUUAACAGAAAAAACCUCUGAGAUCAGCGCAUUCUCUCAGAAACUGGCCACAGUGAGGACUUGGCAAGCAAGCCAAGCCCUCCAAGAUAGUCAUCAGAGAGAUAAGAGCAUUUCUUCUGAGCAAAUAGAAAGUGUGUGCACUGGAAUAUUAACAACCUUGUCUAACAUCCUGAAACUGCUGGUUCAUUAUGAAGUGUUCGAGGAGCCUUUCCACGUGGUUGAAUCUCUAGCAGACACGGUACUGGCUGUGAAGGUGCCAGAGAAUGAGACCACUGCCUUGAGGACCUCCAACUUUAAAAUGCAUGUCAAGAAAACCGAAAAGUGGAAUGUUACCAAGUUCUUCAGCACCCAGAAGCACUGUCAGAAUUGUUUUUAUCCCACCCUAAAUGUGAACAGCUUUGCUAGUCUGCCUGCCAACGCUCCCAUCUCCACGAUGUUCUGUGAAUUUGCGGAUGACCCUUUCCCUUGGCUAAAUUAUGGGGAAAACAUUUUGACCCAGGUGGUUGGAUUCCGAAUGACAGGAGUCGAGGUCACGGGUGACGUGAUUGAGAUGCCACCUGAUGCAGUGGAAGUGUACCUCAUCAGGAAAAACCUGAGCUUUGGAACUUUCAAUCUCACGGUGGGACCCAGCUCAGAGCCUUAUGCAGUGGAUGAGUCAUUGGCAAAGACGACAGGGGCGUUCAGCUUUGUUGUGGACAGUGCAGCAGGGAGGGCCGUGUUGAUCCACAUCCUGACAGACGUGUCCGUCUUGUUCACGGUGUCUGUGUAUGCGGGCCGUGAGAUCACACCCAACUCUUUUAUGACCAGCUACCUGGUGUCCCAUAAAAUCCCUCCAAUUGCCAACGAGAGUGACCUGUUUGACCCGGAGUGUCCAGUGAAGGAGGCCCGAGUGGUCUGCCUCCCGGCGGCCCUGGUGCAGGUCAUAGCUCAGCGAACCAGUUCCUCUGAGUGCACCGUCACUGUGGUUCUACAGGCACCUCGUUUCGUCCUAAACCCCAAUAACAAGUUGGUGAGAAUUUCUGUUUUCAGCAUCAUGUGCUUGAAUAUGUUUGGGAUCCAGAGCGACUGGAGAGAAGACACCUGCGUUGUGGGAGAGAAGACCACUUGGCAAAGAGUGCACUGUAUGUGCAAGAACCCACGGCGGGCCAAACGGCAGCUGGAUAUAAUCAAACAGGCCAACCUCCGCCUGCGUACCCACUAUUUGACGGCCAAGGUGAUCGUGGUCCCUAACCCUGUGGAUUUACAACUGGAGGUCAUCAAGAACGUCACCCAAAACCCUGUGACUCUCUUCACGGUACUUCUCAUUAUGUUGUUGUACUUGAUCCUUGCGUUCUGGGCCUUGCACAGAGAUGAAACGGACCAGUAUCUUAGGGAGCAUGUGAUAGUUCUCCUUGAUAACGAUCCUUAUGAUAAUGUGUGUUAUCUAGUCACUGUUUUUACAGGAAGCCGUUGUGGUUCUGGCACCAGGGCCAAUGUCUUUAUCCAGCUGCAUGGAACCGAAGGUAGCAGCGAUGUGCACUGUUUAAGCCAUCCACAAUUUACAACUCUCUACCGAGGAAGCAUCUGCACUUUCCUCCUAGCGACGCAAAAGGACUUGGGCGACAUCCAUUCCCUCCGCGUGUGGCACAACAAUGAGGGCAGGUCCCCUGAAUGGUAUUUAAGUAGAAUCAAAGUGGAGAAUCUGUUCACCAGACACAUCUGGCUCUUCAUGUGCCGAGAAUGGCUUUCUAUCGAAUCCUCUUUGGACCGAACCUUUCAUGUUACCCCCCCAGAUAAGCCUCUCAAGAAAAUGGACUUUUUCCUCAUAGAUUUAAAUUAUAAUCUAGGGAAAAACCACUUGUGGUUCUCCGUUUUUUCUGGUGUCAUUUCUACACCGUUCAACAGGCUCCAGAGGCUGUCCUGUUGCUUAGCCAUGUUGCUGUCCACGCUUCUGUGUAAUAUUAUGUUCUUUAGUCUAGAGAAGGAGAUCGAAGCAGAGCCACAAGAGCAGAGGUACAUCAGGUCGAUGGUGAUCGGAUUGCAAAGUGCCUUUAUUACGCUCCCUGUACAACUAGUGAUCACAUAUUUGUUCAUCUAUUCCCAGAGGAGACCUCUUGUAUCUCUAGAUGAGGUCACUCCUCGGAAGCAUCCUUUGAAGCCAGCUGCAAAUGAACACUGGGAAGAACGGCUGGGAAAGUGGCACGUUUACGAAAUUGACAAGGCACGCUCCCAGCAGCCUGAGAAGUCUAAUAUACAUCCUGCAAAACACAAGUCUUCUGUCAAGGUCACCUCUAAAGGACAGCCCCCGCCCAAGCAAGCAGAAAGCAAGGUCUCUGGCUCCCCAAGGAAGAUAUCAGGCACCAAAAGCAAGGUCUCCAGUCCCCAAAGAGAUGUCUCCAGCUCACAAAGAAAGGUCUCCAGCACCCCAAGAAAGGUUGCCGACACCCCAAGAAAAGCCCCCAGCACCCAGAGAAAAAUCUCUAAAGGCCAGGAAAAUAAUAAAAACACCAACAACCCAAAUGUUGAAGACAAUCAAAGCAUUUCUUCCGAGGAUCUGCCUCCCCAGCCAGGUUCGCGAGCCCUCAAAGAGAAGCCCAGGAUGGUCCUGCCUCCGUGCUGCGUUAGUGUGGCCUGGCUCUUGGUUUUCCUUACGUGUGCAGUAUCCUCCUUCUUCAUCAUAUUUUAUGGACUGACUUACGGCCUCGAAAAGUCAACAGCAUGGCUGUUUGCAUCGUUCUGUGCAUUCUCUCUGUCAGUCUUCCUGGUGCAGCCAUCGAAAGUCAUACUUAUGUCAAGCUACAGAACAAGUACAUCCAAGUAUUCAAAGAACCUUUCAUGGAUCAGCAACUAUCACUUCACUGAGAUCAAGUUGCAAAACCUCUGGAAGGACCCAGAAGAAAUGGACAGACGCCACCAGUUUGUCAUGGAGCUCCGAAACUCAAGGAUGUACCAGCCUCUCACCCAAGAUGAAAUCAUGAUAUUCAAAAGAAAGAAGAGGGUCAAGCGAAGAGCUUUCCUGUUCCUUAUUUACAUCCUCACUCACUUCAUCUUUCUGGCUCUCUUGCUGAGCCUAGUCGCCGUCCUGCGCCCCACUGACAGCUUUUACUAUAAUCAGUUUAUUCGGGACCAGUUCUCUGUGGAUCUGGCAGGCGUGGCCAGGCUGGAAGACAUCUAUCAGUGGCUGAACAGGGUGCUGUUGCCUCUGCUCCACAAUGACCCGAAUCCCACAUUUUUCCCUGACAGCUCCUCUAAAAUCCUUGGCCUGCCUCUGAUGAGGCAGCUGAGGGCACAACCUGGAGAGAUAACAUGUCUGCCGGCCAAGAAAUUUGUGGCGGGCAGCCUCAAAGGAGAGAUUCGCUGUCACCCCGAAUAUGGCAUUGACCCAGAAGACACAAAAAACUACUCUGGGUCAUGGAAUAGAGUUAGUAAGCGGGACACUGACCAGACGGCCGGAGGGUUUACUUACAGGCCUCCAGAGAAGAGGUGGGCAUACUCUUCCUAUGGGCUGCUGCACACCUAUGGCUCAGGAGGAUACGCCUUCUAUUUUUUUCCAGCAGAGCAGCAGUUUAAUUCCACACUGAGGCUCAGCGAGCUCCAGAAAGGCCACUGGCUAGAUGAGAAGACCUGGUCUGUGAUAGUGGAACUGACCACCUUCAAUCCAGACAUCAGUCUCCUCUGCAGCGUCUCGGUCAUCUUCGAGGUCUCUCAGUUAGGUGUUGUGAACACAAGCCUGCAUGCGCACUCCUUCUCACUCACUCAUUUCAACAGAAAAUACUCAGAAGAAAUCUACUUGUAUGUGGCCAUCUACCUUUUCUUUCUUGCCUAUAUUGUCGACGAAGUCAACAUCAUCACAGAUCAAUGGACUGCCUAUGUGAAAAGUGUAUUUAAUUGGCUCAGCUUUACUCUUAAAUUCUUCCUUAUCUUGUGGAUCAUGCUCUUUUUCAGGAAGCACUUCUUGGCCAUCGGUGUAGUUCAGACUUACCUGUCAAAUCCGGAGGAUUUCAUUCCCUUUCAUGCAGUGGCUCAAGUGGAUUACACCAUGAGGGUGAUUCUGGGUUUCCUGGUGUUUCUGACGAUCCUGAAGACGCUCCGGUAUUCCAGGGUCUUUUACGAUGUGCGUCUGGCUCAGAGGGCCAUCCAGAUUGCCCUUCCUGGCAUCUGCCACAUGGCAUUGGUGGUGUCCAUGUAUUUCUUUGUCUUCAUGGCAUUCGGGUACUUGGUGUUCGGGCAGCAUGAGUGGAACUACAGUGACAUGAUCCACGCCACCCAGACCAUAUUUUCCUACUGUGUCUCAGCUUUUGAGAACACGGAAUUUUUCAAUAACCGGGUUCUCGGGGUCCUCUUCCUCUCAUGUUUCUUGCUGGUGAUGAUAUGCAUAUUGAUCAACUUAUUUCGUGCUGUGAUUCUGUCUGCCUACGAGGAAAUGAAGCAGCCUGUGUAUGAGGAGCCCUCAGAAGAGGCGGAAGCCAUGACUUAUCUGUGUCACCGGCUGAGAUCUGCUUUUUGCUGCCUGUGCUUCAAACCCAGGGCGGAAGACGAGCCCAGGUUCUUCAUCAACAUGGUGUACGGGCAGCCGGAGAAGAAGAGCCGCCGCUACCUGGGGCUGAAGACCAGAAACAUCAAUGGGAAGAAAAUGGUUUACCUCGUCGUGUGA